AUGAAAUUGAAGUCUUCGGACUCAUCUUCAUUAUCCACACACACCUGUGCACCUUUGAUUCGAGUACUGGUUAUUAGAGCUUCGGCUCGAGUGCUAGUACUUGUCUCAAUAUCAAUCUUCAAAACAAUGUUUUCUAGAAUGUAUACUGUCUCGUUGUAAUGACGAGUACAACCCUUAUA
rnacentral:misc_RNA from 1 species